rnacentral:rRNA from 1 species
AAUAGAUACCCGGGUAGUCCACGCCGUAAACGAUGAGUGCUAAGUGUUAGAGGGUUUCCGCCCUUUAGUGCUGCAGCUAACGCAUUAAGCACUCCGCCUGGGGAGUACGGCCGCAAGGCUGAAACUCAAAGGAAUUGGACGGGGGCCCGCACAAGCGGUGGAGCAUGUGGUUUAAUUCGAAGCAACGCGAAGAACCUUACCAGGUCUUGACAUCCUCUGACAACCCUAGAGAUAGGGCUUUCCCCUUCGGGGGACAGAGUGACAGGUGGUGCAUGGUUGUCGUCAGCUCGUGUCGUGAGAUGUUGGGUUAAGUCCCGCAACGAGCGCAACCCUUGAUCUUAGUUGCCAGCAUUCAGUUGGGCACUCUAAGGUGACUGCCGGUGACAAACCGGAGGAAGGUGGGGAUGACGUCAAAUCAUCAUGCCCCUUAUGAACUGGGGCUACACACGUGCUACAAUGGAUGGUACAAAGGGGCUGCAAACCUGCGAAGGUAAGCGAAAUCCCAUAAAAGCCAUUCUCAGUUCGGAUUGCAGG